rnacentral:rRNA from 1 species
UCCUCCCUCUGGCGGCGUGCUUAACACAUGCAAGUCGAACGGAAAGGCCCUGCUUUUGUGGGGUGCUCGAGUGGCGAACGGGUGAGUAACACGUGAGUAACCUGCCCUUGACUUUGGGAUAACUUCAGGAAACUGGGGCUAAUACCGGAUAGGAGCUCCUGCUGCAUGGUGGGGGUUGGAACGUUUCGGCGGUUGGGGAUGGACUCGCGGCUUAUCAGCUUGUUGGUGGGGUAGUGGCUUACCAAGGCUUUGACGGGUAGCCGGCCUGAGAGGGUGACCGGCCACAUUGGGACUGAGAUACGGCCCAGACUCCUACGGGAGGCAGCAGUGGGGAAUAUUGCACAAUGGGCGGAAGCCUGAUGCAGCAACGCCGCGUGCGGGAUGACGGCCUUCGGGUUGUAAACCGCUUUCGCCUGUGACGAAGCGUGAGUGACGGUAAUGGGUAAAGAAGCACCGGCUAACUACGUG